rnacentral:lncRNA from 1 species
CUUUCUUAAAACCAUCUAAUGAGCGAUGUCUUUCUUACACCAUAGAAUCUGUUGCAAGCUCGUUACUCCGAGCCUUAGGUGUCCCAGAGAUGCAAGAUCAACAAAUAUUGGUGAGGUUUGGACUGCCAGGGUUUGAAGAAAAACCUCAGGCAGAGCAGGAGGACAUAUUAAUAUAUCUCUAUACAAAAUGGCAUGAUCUACAACAUGAUUCUUCUAUAAUUGAAGCUUUAAAGGAGACUGAUUUUGUAAGGAGUGCUGAUGAACUUUCUGCAAAGUUUUGUAAACCAAAAGAUCUUUUCGAUCCAGCAGACACUUUAUUGGCAUCUAUAUUCUCUGGUGAUAGGAAGAAAUUUCCUGGAGAAAGAUUUGUUGCAGAUGGGUGGAUUAACAUACUCAGAAAAACAGGCCUUCGAAAUGCUUCAGAGGCUGAUGUUGUACUUGAAUGUGCGAAAAAGGUGGAAUCUAUUGGAAGCGAAACUGCAGAAUCCAUAGAAUUUCUUGACGAUUUUGAAACAGACGUAGUUAGCUCGAAGAAAGAGGUGUCGAUUGAAACAUGGUCCUUGGCAGAAACUCUAGUAAAAGCAAUAUUUGCAAAUUUUGCAGUCCUGUACAGCAAUAACUUCUGCAGUUGUCUUGGUAAGAUUGCAUGCAUUCCUGCAGAAAAAGGGUUUCCCAAUAUAGGUGGCAAAAAUGGUAGGAAGAGAGUACUUACUUCGUACAGUGAAGCUAUUUUGUUAAAAGAUUGGCCGCUUGCUUGGAGCUCUGCUCCCAUUCUUUCUAAACAGAGUGUUGUUCCACCCGAGUACUCUUGGGGCGCCCUUCAACUCAGGAGUCCUCCAUCAUUUUCAACUGUUUUGAACCACCUUAAGGUAUCAAAUAAAGAGAAAUAUUAUGCUGAUUCACAAAAUAAUGUUUUACAUGAUCCAUAUUUCUUUACUAAAAAUUCACAAUAUUUUAAGAAUGUGCUAAAUUGUUUGUUUAUUUAUCAGAAUAUUGGAAGAAACUCUGGUGAAGACACUUUGGCUCACUGGCCAAAACCAUCUAAUGAGCGAUGUCUUUCUUACACCAUAGAAUCUGUUGCAAGCUCGUUACUCCGAGCCUUAGGUGUCCCAGAGAUGCAAGAUCAACAAAUAUUGGUGAGGUUUGGACUGCCAGGGUUUGAAGAAAAACCUCAGGCAGAGCAGGAGGACAUAUUAAUAUAUCUCUAUACAAAAUGGCAUGAUCUACAACAUGAUUCUUCUAUAAUUGAAGCUUUAAAGGAGACUGAUUUUGUAAGGAGUGCUGAUGAACUUUCUGCAAAGUUUUGUAAACCAAAAG